AUUGAACGCUGGCGGCAUGCCUUACACAUGCAAGUCGAACGGUAACGGGCCUUCGGGUGCCGACGAGUGGCGAACGGGUGAGUAAUGUAUCGGAACGUACCUUUCAGUGGGGGAUAACGUAGCGAAAGUUUCGCUAAUACCGCAUAUUCUGUGAGCAGGAAAGCAGGGGAUCGCAAGACCUUGCGCUGAUUGAGCGGCAGAUAUGAGAUUAGCUAGUUGGUGAGGGAAAGGCUCACCAAGGCGCCGAUCUGUAGCGGGUCUGAGAGGAUGAGUCGCAACACGGGAACUGAGGCACGGUACAGACGCCUACGGGAGGCAGCAGGGGGGAAUUUUGGACAAUGGGGGCAACCCGGAUCCAGCCAUACCGCGUGAGUGAAGAAGGCCUUCGGGUUGUAAAGCUCUUUCGGCCGGGAAGAAAUCGCAUGGGUUAAUACCCUGUGCGGAUGACGGUACCGGCAUAAGAAGCACCGGCUAACUACGUGCCAGCCGCCGCAGUAA
rnacentral:rRNA from 1 species